rnacentral:rRNA from 1 species
AGAGUUUGAUCCUGGCUCAGGACGAACGCUGGCGGCGCGCCUAACACAUGCAAGUCGAACGAGUGAGAGAGAGCUUGCUUUCUCGAGCGAGUGGCGAACGGGUGAGUAACGCGUGAGGAACCUGCCUCAAAGAGGGGGACAACAGUUGGAAACGACUGCUAAUACCGCAUAAGCCCACAGCUCGGCAUCGAGCAGAGGGAAAAGGAGCAAUCCGCUUUGAGAUGGCCUCGCGUCCGAUUAGCUGGUUGGUGAGGUAACGGCCCACCAAGGCGACGAUCGGUAGCCGGACUGAGAGGUUGAACGGCCACAUUGGGACUGAGACACGGCCCAGACUCCUACGGGAGGCAGCAGUGGGGAAUAUUGCACAAUGGGGGAAACCCUGAUGCAGCGACGCCGCGUGGAGGAAGAAGGUCUUCGGAUUGUAAACUCCUGUUGUUGAGGAAGAUAAUGACGGUACUCAACAAGGAAGUGACGGCUAACUACGUGCCAGCAGCCGCGGUAAAACGUAGGUCACAAGCGUUGUCCGGAAUUACUGGGUGUAAAGGGAGCGCAGGCGGGAAGGCAAGUUGGAAGUGAAAUCCAUGGGCUCAACCCAUGAACUGCUUUCAAAACUGUUUNUCUUGAGUAGUGCAGAGGUAGGCGGAAUUCCCGGUGUAGCGGUGGAAUGCGUAGAUAUCGGGAGGAACACCAGUGGCGAAGGCGGCCCACUGGGCACCAACUGACGCUGAGGCUCGAAAGUGUGGGUAGCAAACAGGAUUAGAUACCCUGGUAGUCCACACUGUAAACGAUGAUUACUAGGUGUUGGAGGAUUGACCCCUUCAGUGCCGCAGUUAACACAAUAAGUAAUCCACCUGGGGAGUACGACCGCAAGGUUGAAACUCAAAGGAAUUGACGGGGGCCCGCACAAGCAGUGGAGUAUGUGGUUUAAUUCGACGCAACGCGAAGAACCUUACCAAGUCUUGACAUCCUGCGACACACAUAGAAAUAUGUGUUUCCUUCGGGACGCAGAGACAGGUGGUGCAUGGUUGUCGUCAGCUCGUGUCGUGAGAUGUUGGGUUAAGUCCCGCAACGAGCGCAACCCUUAUGGUCAGUUACUACGCAAGAGGACUCUGGCCAGACUGCCGUUGACAAAACGGAGGAAGGUGGGGAUGACGUCAAAUCAUCAUGCCCUUUAUGACUUGGGCUACACACGUACUACAAUGGCGUUAAACAAAGAGAAGCGAGACCGCGAGGUGGAGCAAAACUCAGAAACAACGUCCCAGUUCGGACUGCAGGCUGCAACUCGCCUGCACGAAGUCGGAAUUGCUAGUAAUCGCAGAUCAGCAUGCUGCGGUGAAUACGUUCCCGGGCCUUGACACACCGCCCGU